CAAUAUAGUAGGUUGUUGGGUUAAUUUUUAUAUGUAUGAAUUGGCAUGAGGAUAUGUAUGUUUAAGAUAAAAUACAAUAUUUUCUUUAAAGAAAUAUUUUAUUAAGUAUAUAGAAAGGGUUGGUUUCUGUACUUUUUGCAUCAUGGUCUAUAGAGAGAAAUUAGUUUGGUUUUUUCCCGAAAGUUCUGGAUCUAUUUUAGUUAGAGUGAAUAGAUGAUUCGAUUUUAAUGUUGCAUAAUUGAGUUUGAAGACUGAAAUAGUGUGAAAUGCUAUUCGAAAGGGCUGGUAGCUGGUUUAGAGAGAAAUGUAUCUUAGUACAGGUAUAAAAGUAUAGGUUGUCACUUUGGGUUGUGAUACUUAUGUUUAGUCUGAUAUGACUGGGUGUUAGCUCAUUCAUGUAAAGGAUGUAUGUCUUUAUUUUGAAGUAGGAUUUAUAUUGUCUUUCUUUGAAAUAUUUGUUCAAAGUGUUUGUGAGGAAAAUUUUCUGUUAGGUAUCUCUACAUGGUUAACAAUUUUUUUAUUUUAGAGUAGUAUAGAAUUAGUAAAUUUUGUUAAAUAGAAUGUUUUGGAACAUUGGCUUAAGUUGGGCCUGUCAAUUAAAUUUUAUAACGUUUAGGUAAGUGAAAUAUCGGAUGUGUGAAGUUAUUUAUAAUGAACUCGGCAAAUAUUUUCUGCACCUGUUUAUUAAAAACAUGGCUCUUUGAAUUUUAAUUAAAAAGAGUCUGGCCUGCCCGGUGAGGGAAGCCUUAAACGGUCGCAGCUACCACUGUGCGAAGGUAGCGUAAUAGGUCGUCCUUUAAUUGAGGGAAAGUAUGAAUGGUCGAAUGUUGGAAAUGCUUUAUUAUAAAUAUUUGUUGAAGUUUACUUUUUUGUGCAAAGGCUAAAAUUGUUUUAUUAGACGAGAAGACCCUAUUGAGCUUAGUAAAUUUAGAUUAUAUUUUAAUCAGGAUUAUGUUUUUUCGGGGCUGAAAAGAAGGGAAAUUAUGCCUUCUAUCUUACUAUAAGGAUCCGGUAUGGCUGAUAAGUGGAAGAUAGCUACCAUAGGGAUAACAGCGCAAUCUUCUUGAUAAGGCCAUAUUUAAGAGAAGGUUUGCGACCUCGAUGUUGAAUCAGAAUUUCUGUCAGGUGUAGCAGUUUGACUAGUGGGACUGUUCGUCCUUUAAAAUUUUACGUGAUUUGAGUUUAGACCGGCGUGAGCUAGGUCGGUUUCUAUCUAUAAAUGAAAGUGUCUUAGUACGAAAGGAUCAGAUUCUUUAGUUUUUACUAAA
rnacentral:rRNA from 1 species